AAGGUGGAAAAGGAGGCUACACUGACAUCUUUUGCAGACUUCAGAUCCAUGCAGAUGGUCAACUCCAUGGACUCAGAAACCGCAAGAGAUCAUCUUCUUCAUUUUGAUGUGGUGAAGAAUGUUCUUCUGGGCAAUGUGAUGGCUCAUCAGAGCAUCCAUGGUCUACCAGCCAGAAUCUUGUCCAACUUGCUCCUACUCCUCGUCUUGGUGUUUUCAGCCCUACUCUGCAUCAGGCAAAGAUUGGAGAUGCUGUUCAGGGAGAUGCCUGACUUAAUUAUCUGGACUUGGCUUAGCCUGAAAAAUUGCAGCGUU